ACCCGCUGAACUUAAGCAUAUCAAUAAGCGGAGGAAAAGAAACCAACAGGGAUUACCUCAGUAACGGCGAGUGAAGCGGUAACAGCUCAAAUUUGAAAUCUGGGUCUUUCAGGCUCCGAGUUGUAAUUUGUAGAAGAUGCUUCGGGUGUAGCUCCGGUCUAAGUUCCUUGGAACAGGACGUCAUAGAGGGUGAGAAUCCCGUAUGUGACUGGGUGCUUUCGCUCAUGUGAAGCUCUUUCAACGAGUCGAGUUGUUUGGGAAUGCAGCUCAAAAUGGGUGGUAUAUUUCAUCUAAAGCUAAAUAUUGGCCAGAGACCGAUAGCGCACAAGUAGAGUGAUCGAAAGAUGAAAAGCACUUUGGAAAGAGAGUUAAACAGUACGUGAAAUUGUUGAAAGGGAAGCGCUUGCAACCAGACUUGCACGUUGUCGAUCAUCCGAGGUUUUCCCCGGUGCACUCGAUUUCGUUCAGGCCAGCAUCGGUUUCAGUGGUUGGAUAAAGGCCUUAGGAAUGUGGCACCUCUCGGGGUGUGUUAUAGCCUAAGGUGCAAUGCAGCCUACUGGGACCGAGGACCGCGCUUCGGCUAGGAUGCUGGCGUAAUGGUUGUAAGCGACCCGUCUUGAAACACGG
rnacentral:rRNA from 1 species